AGAAGUAAAAGUCGUAACAAGGUCUCCGUUGGUGAACCAGCGGAGGGAUCAUUACCGAGUUUACAACUCCCAAACCCCUAUGUGAACGUUACCAAACUGUUGCCUCGGCGGGAAAUUCAUGCCCCGGGCGCGUCGCAGCCCCGGACCAAGGCGCCCGCCGGAGGACCAACCAAAACUCUUUUGUAUGUCCCUCGCGGACUUUUAUAAUUCUGAACCAUCUCGGCGCCCCUAGCGGGCGUUUCGAAAAUGAAUCAAAACUUUCAACAACGGAUCUCUUGGUUCUG
rnacentral:misc_RNA from 1 species